GCCCCGGUUUACACAUCAAUAACCUCUAGAAAAAAUGUGUUUAAUCCUUAUAAUUCUUCAGCCAAACAUUUGUGAUAUUUAAUCAACAUUUUUUGUUGUUGAUGGCUACUAUAUAUAUUUACCAUCAAAAGCACAAUGGCAAGUCGUAACUAAGGAGUACGCCGCCAUCUUGACUUUCUAAAAACCAUAAAUGUCCGAUAAAUACAACGGAAUCUUAAAUUAAAUAGCACCUACCUCAAAAACUUCAUUUUAAUUAAAUGUUAUCCGAAUUUGAAGCGUACACGUAAC
rnacentral:lncRNA from 1 species